AUUGAACGCUGGCGGAAUGCUUUACACAUGCAAGUCGAGCGGCAGCACGGGGGCAACCCUGGUGGCGAGCGGCGAACGGGUGAGUAAUACAUCGGAACAUGCCCAGUCGUGGGGGAUAACACUUCGAAAGAAGUGCUAAUACCGCAUACGUCCUGAGGGGGAAAGCGGGGGAUCGCAAGACCUCGCGCGAUUGGAGUGGCCGAUGUCAGAUUAGCUAGUUGGUGGGGUAAAGGCCUACCAAGGCAACGAUCUGUAGCUGGUCUGAGAGGAUGAUCAGCCACACUGGGACUGAGACACGGCCCAGACUCCUACGGGGGGCAGCAGUGGGGAAUUUUGGACAAUGGGGGCAACCCUGAUCCAGCCAUUCCGCGUGAGUGAAGAAGGCCUUCGGGUUGUAAAGCUCUUUCGGCAGGAACGAAACGGUGAGCUCUAACAUAGCUUGCUAAUGACGGUACCUGAAGAAGAAGCACCGGCUAACUACGUG
rnacentral:rRNA from 1 species